rnacentral:rRNA from 1 species
UACAGAGGUCUCAAGCGUUGUUCGGAUUCAUUGGGCGUAAAGGGUGCGUAGGCGGCGCGGUAAGUCGGGUGUGAAAUCUCGGAGCUUAACUCCGAAACUGCAUUCGAUACUGCCGUGCUUGAGGACUGGAGAGGAGACUGGAAUUUACGGUGUAGCGGUGAAAUGCGUAGAUAUCAGGAAGAACACCCGUGGCGAAGGCGGCUCUCUGGAACGCAACUGACGCUGAGACGCGAAAGCGUGGGGAGCAAACAGG